GGAAGUAAAAAACAAGGUCUCCGUUGGUGAACCAGCGGAGGGAUCAUUACCGAGUUUACAACUCCCAAACCCAAUGUGAACCAUACCAAACUGUUGCCUCGGCGGGGUCACGCCCCGGGUGCGUCGCAGCCCCGGAACCAGGCGCCCGCCGGAGGGACCAACCAAACUCUUUCUGUAGUCCCCUCGCGGACGUUAUUUCUUACAGCUCUGAGCAAAAAUUCAAAAUGAAUCAAAACAUUCAACAGCGGAUCUCUUGGUUCUG
rnacentral:misc_RNA from 1 species